UACAUUCUUGGUAGUACAGUUAAACCCAUUAUCCGGCAGGAGUUCCUACAAGUGACAGAAACCAGCCUUCAAGUCCAUCAAGAAUUAACCAACUUUGAAAUUAUUACUAAAUAGAAACUAUACAAAGAUGAAAGUAGAAGAAAGUGGGAAAAUAAUUCAACACAGUGAUAGAGAGCUUCCAUUUCUCACAUUUAUGUGAAAUCCACCCAUCAAGCAUCCACGAUUAUUAUGACAGAACAGGAUAACACACUCUGAUGGCACAUUCCAACCAGUGAUAGAAAAAUGAUUCAAAAAGCAAUUAGUAGUUGUGGAAUCUCAUAAUGGAAGUUCUUGUGGAAUGAAUUAGUCAUCUAAACUUCCUCAAUGCUCAUUCAGAUUCCACUUCUUUUUAGCAUGCAUUUAACUUGGGAGAAAAAUAGAUUGAUCAACAAAAACUUAGUUCCUCCAGUUCGUUCUCUAGCUCACGGAGGGAGGGCUGGAGAGAAUGGUUUUCCAUCUAAUUCAAUUACAGAAAAAAGGCAAGCAAAUUCCUCUUUUCAAGUCAAUGAAGCUGGAGUCUUUGAGGCUAAAAAAGAAAUUAAAAAUAUGCUUCGUCAUAUCAUAGAUAUUAAGGAAAUCACACAUAAAACAAUUCACAUAUGAACAAAUGGAACAAAAAUCUAGAAUGAGGCAACAAGUCUAACAAGGCAAACAACAUGCUUACAGUGCGGAAGCAUUCAGGUUUAGAGACCUGGCUAUUCUGGAGAGCUACACCUGAUCUUCCCAAAUGAACUCGAGUCCUUCCAAUCUGCAGGAAAUUAACCAGUGAUGCUUAAAGAAUUGGAAAGCACAGGGCAGCCCCCUAGUAACCAGCACCACAUCCACCCGAACGCCCCACAAAAAAUUCAAAGAAUCUGUUCCUAGUUCAUAAACUGGCAAAACUCAUCCCACCUUCUUUACUGGGAUCUCCUCCUCAAGAGCUGAGAUACAUGGUAACCUUCAAAGAAAUCCAAGACAGCACUCUCCAAAUCCUCAACUGAAUACUUCAUAUAGUUCUCCGGGUGUUUUCCACUCUCUAUAUGACUCCUGUACCUCCCAAGAAAUGACCUGUAAGCUGGGAUCAACUUCUCUGAUAUUGAUAUUCGAAGCUCCUCCCUGAGUUGAUUAUCUGGCACCAACCAUGUUGCUUGAGUCCUGUGAACCUCUUCAAACAUAGCAUUGAAGGUCUUAAACCUCUCCCUUAAAGCACUCUUCGACACCCCAGAAGAGAAACUCCCACUCACAUGUAACCCCUCAUCCCUCAAGCAAUACAACACCCUCACCCAAGUAGCUCUCUGAUAACUAGUGGCUGCCUGCCUGAAUUUCCCCGUUAGUUUCCUCAAGUAAUCGUCUCCAAUCAUUUCUCUUAGUUCAGGUGACCCUUUAACCUUUUGAACAAUGUAGUGAACAUUGUUCAUCAUAAACAGAUGCGCUAAUGAUACGUCUUUGUAAUGCUUGGACUUGCCGUCCAAAUUGAAUUGCAAAAUCACAAUAAUCCAAAUCAAAUGAAGGGCUAAUGGGGUUUUCCCCUCUAGCUCUGCAAAUUCCAUAUCUGGGGUGGUCGAAUCACCAGAAUAUCUUGACCCGGUUGAUGGUUUCGAUAAAAUAAGCUCGAUCAAGGUCUGUUUAUAAUCCGAAAUCAAACUGAUAUAAUUCAUCACAUACCUUGUCAAGGGAUGAAUUGUUCCUCCAGGCACUGGAACCAAUGAAGGUUCACGCAAAACAGCAUUCUCAAACUCUGACAAAAUCCCUCUUGCAGCCUCGGCCAAUCUUGACAAAAUCUCUGCAGCCUGGACUCGAAACGAAUCAGCUGAUUUCGAUUCGAAAACCACCUCAAUGUCAGGCACCAAGUCCAUUAAAGCAUCAUGUAAGUCCAAAAUCUUGAACAUUUUCUCCGGAGAUCUCCUGCUUAUACUUAUAGCCUCGGCAAAAUUGAACAGCUGAAUUGCUGGACCCUUGACAGUCUCCAUGAAACAAGCAUCAUCCACAGCAGUACCAAUCCCAUCAAAAAUCUGUUCGCAGAGCCUCUUCUCGCUCGCGAACAAAAUCCUUAUACAAACCUUAGCUGCCCUUAUCCAACGUCUGAUUUUAGUCUCUAAAGCAUCCCACUCGAGUCUCUGUAUAUCCCCAAUACUCAGCUUUUCAAUCCCGAGUCUCUUAAAGUUAGCGUCCACAACAGAUUUCCGUACACUCCCGUACACCUGGAUACACUCGCGCAAGUACCCAGCAGAGAUCAUGCGCUUGGCAAUGGACUGGAGGUCAGCGACUGCUUCCUGUGGAAUCAGAUCGAUCUCGCGAAUACUGCUAGUGGAUCGAUAGCUUGUGUUGCCGUUACUCGCAGAUGAAUCAGCUCGUUGGAUUUGAUCUUGGAUAUCCUCAUCACCCACAUGAUCGUCUUCUUCAUACUCAUCUGCGGCGGAGGAGUGGACUGAAGAGCUGGGAUCAGCGGCGGCGAGGGAGUUCAACUCGACGGGAGUGGUGUGGUUGAGAAGUAUGUUGCGGAACUCGUCUUCAAGCCUGGCCAUAGCGAUCUGGAUGGUGGCGCUAUUGACCUUGUCUUGAUCAUCGGAGAUGGAGGUGGACGACAUGGAUUUUUGAAUAUCGUCGACAGCCUUUAAAUAAAGAUCCACCUCCUCACGGUCACCUUCGAAGAUCAUCCUCUCCCUGGCUUCCUCUGAGGCCGUGGAGUCCCACCGGAGAAUUAUCUUCUGCGCAUCUUCAAACGCCACCGCACCACCACUAGCGUCACUAUUCUCUGGUGGUUCCAUAUGAUUGGACACAACUGGCUCUUAGAAGCUAAAAGAUUGAAACUUUUUGUGGAAUCUUUCAAGAAAAAUGAAGACUUUCUAUUUUCCAAAUCUCGAAAAUAUUAACAGCAGAUUCGUUUGAGUGUUGGCGAUGAAUUUUGUAAUGGAAAAGUAAAGUUUUUUUUUUUUCUUUAAUAUAGGAAAAGUUAAAAGCUUGUGUUAACAAAAAAGGGUUGAUUGUACGG
rnacentral:misc_RNA from 1 species